AGGAGUGCAUAUUGACUCCAGCGUUGUGUUUGUUGUGGCCACUUGGACGUUUAGCUGGAUGAUACAGACACGGGCAAAUAAAAGAACCAGCUGGGGAGAAUAAGAGGAGGACAAAAAACCGGGGAUGUAAUCGCCUUUUCUUUUGCUCCAAAGGACAGCGGUGGUGUGCAGCGCCCAACGCCCCGCAAAGAGCACUCUCUCCCCGGCUCACCAGGAACCUACGGGGACGCCUCGACAUCGCGGAGAGGAGGAGAAGCCCCCUGAAACGCACGCCACCUAUCUUCACGGGAGGGGAUAAUUGAGGAGAGCAAAACGUGAGCAUCUUCUGGGUUGAACGUGAAGUUAUUUUUUUUCCUUCUCUUUUUUUUUCUCCCUCCCUCCCUCUCUCUCUCUCUCCCUCCCUCUCCCCCCUCUUUCCUCCUCUUUUCUUCCCCUCACUCUCCUCUCUCUUUCUCCAUCUCUUCUCUUUUUGAGUGAAACCAACUAUGUCGGGCUUCGACGCGGAGCGAAGAACAGGCGACAGUGUGUGUGUGUGUGUGUGUGUGUGUUUCUUUUUUCUCCCUUUCUUCGUGUGAAUGCGCGCGCGUGUGUGUGUGUGCGUGUAGAAGGGGGAGAAACUUGGAGCCCGUCCACGCCAGCCGCAAUCAUUUGCUCUCCCACUUGUCUGCACGGACCGGAGGACUUCACUUGGUGAGUUGACUUCCUUCCCUUCGGUGUUCGAGUCCUUUCCUUGGGUGCUUCGAGUCCUUUCCUUGGGUGCUUCGUGUCCUUUCCUUCGUGACGUGAGUCCUUGCUUGCCUCCUUUUCCCCGUCGAACAACAAAGAGAAGCGCGAGGGGGGCAGAGAGAGAGCGCGUGAAGCCGCUCCGCCGGCCGCUUUUUCCGGGGAGGAAAAGUGGAUCCAGUCCUGGGUGAAUUAUUGUCACGCGUAAUUUACUGCCACGGUGCUUGCAUGUAAACGAAGCAGUCUCUCUCUCACCCCACCCUCUCUCUCUCUCUCUCUCUCACACACACACACACACACACACACACACACACACACACACACACACACACUUGAACCAGCUCUCCCAUUCAUCCGAGCGGCUCCGGAGUGGCACCUCUCCCCCCCCGACGCGGGGCCGCAUAUUCACCGUGAAACCGGAUUACAGUCGGUGUGCGACCUAUAGGGGGACCUUGUGCUUAAUGAAUAAAUUCAUUUCAAUAAGGGGAGGGCUACCACAAAAAAACAUCGUAUGCAUGCAUUCAUAAUUAUUUAUGGAUUAUUUUUUUUUUUUUUACGAUUCUUAUUUCCAGAUUAAAAGUGCAAAAUGUUAAUGCACAGUGUGUUUCAAUUAAUUAUGAGAAAUAGUUGUUUACGAUGUUUAAGGGAAAUUGUUAUUUACAGGCCGACAUAUUUGUAAUUAUUUAAAUAAUAUAUUGUGUGUGUAUUUUUUUAUAACUGUGUUGCUCAAUGUGGAUCUCUCCUCUCGUGUUUGUAUUUUUUU